AGAGUUUGAUCAUGGCUCAGAACGAACGCUGGCGGCGUGCCUAACACAUGCAAGUCGAGCGCGAAUGGAGCAAUCCUAGUAGAGCGGCGCACGGGUGCGUAACACGUGGGUAAUCUGCCCUGAAGCCCGGAAUAACCUGCCGAAAGGCAAGCUAAUACCGGAUAAGCCUACGGCCCCCUCGGGGGCUGAAGGAAAAGGUGGCCUCUGCAUGCAAGCUAUCACUUCAGGAUGAGCCCGCGGCCCAUCAGCUCGUUGGCGGGGUAACGGCCCACCAAGGCUACGACGGGUAGCUGGUCUGAGAGGACGAUCAGCCACACUGGAACUGAGACACGGUCCAGACUCCUACGGGAGGCAGCAGUGGGGAAUUUUGCGCAAUGGGCGAAAGCCUGACGCAGCAACGCCGCGUGUGUGAUGAAGGUCUUCGGAUUGUAAAGCACUUUCGACCGGGACGAAAACCCGCUGGCCAAUAUCCAGCGGCUUGACGGUACCGGGAGAAGAAGCACCGGCUAACUCUGUGCCAGCAGCCGCGGUAAUACAGAGGGUGCAAGCGUUGUUCGGAAUUAUUGGGCGUAAAGCGCGUGUAGGCGGCUUUGCAAGUCGGGUGUGAAAGCCCUCGGCUCAACCGAGGAAGUGCGCCCGAAACUGCAGAGCUUGAGUACCGGAGAGGAUGGCGGAAUUCCCCAAGUAGAGGUGAAAUUCGUAGAUAUGGGGAGGAACACCGGUGGCGAAGGCGGCCAUCUGGACGGAUACUGACGCUGAGACGCGAAAGCGUGGGGAGCAAACAGGAUUAGAUACCCUAGUAGUCC
rnacentral:rRNA from 1 species